AAGUUUGGAGUUUCCGCCUCAUGGGCUGCCAUUAUGGCUUUUACAACGGAAGUAUAUCCAACUGUCGUAAGGAAUAUCGGCUAUGGAACUCAGAACUCCAUUUCAAGAAUCGGUGCUCUCAUAGCACCUCAGCUAGUUUUGGUGUCUUUUGCUUGUUUGUGCAUUUCAGAACAAAGUAACACCAGGAGUGAUGUACAUCAUCUGCUUUGUUGUGACCUUAACCUCAGCCAUCACGUGCCUUCUACUGAAAGAAACUAAAGACAAAACAAUUUCUGACAACCUGGAGGUUCGUGUUGCGGGGAACCGAAAGUGAUCAAGGCAGCUGCAUGGCUUUUUAUACCUUAGUAACCCAAAGGGGUGACCAUAGAUAUUAGUAGAAAAAGUAUUAGAAUAAAUAGUAUUUUAAUAAAUAUAUUUUG
rnacentral:misc_RNA from 1 species